rnacentral:rRNA from 1 species
UACGUAGGGGGCAAGCGUUGUCCGGAUUUAUUGGGCGUAAAGAGCGUGUAGGCGGCCAGGUAGGUCUGCUGUGAAAACUCGAGGCUCAACCUCGAGACGUCGGCGGAAACCAUCUGGCUAGAGUCCGGAAGAGGCGAGUGGAAUUCCUGGUGUAGCGGUGAAAUGCGCAGAUAUCAGGAGGAACACCAAUUGCGAAGGCAGCUCGCUGGGACGUUACUGACGCUGAGACGCGAAAGCGUGGGGAGCAAACAGG